rnacentral:rRNA from 1 species
UACGUAGGGUGCGAGCGUUGUCCGGAAUUAUUGGGCGUAAAGAGCUUGUAGGCGGUUUGUCGCGUCUGCUGUGAAAAUCCGGGGCUCAACCCCGGACUUGUAGUGGGUACGGGCAGACUGGAGUGUGGUAGGGGAGACUGGAAUUCCUGGUGUAGCGGUGGAAUGCGCAGAUAUCAGGAGGAACACCGAUGGCGAAGGCAGGUCUCUGGGCCACUACUGACGCUGAGAAGCGAAAGCAUGGGGAGCGAACAGG